rnacentral:lncRNA from 1 species
AUAAAAAAUCUUAAAGAAAUAUUAGAAUGAUCACAAAUAUAUCUCAAAUACAUCUCAAUUCAAUCUUAAUUUAAUCCUAGUUAAAAUCCUAUUGGACUUCAUUUAAAUUUUAGACCAAAAACUAACUAAAUCUUAAAUCUUAAUAAAAUCCUAAACCCUAAACCAAAUCCUAAUCAAAUCCUAAAUCCUUAAUCAAAUCCUAACCAAAUCUUAAAUCAUAAAUCAAAUCCUAAACUCUAAACCAAACCCUAAAUCCUAAAUCAAAUCCUAACCAAACCCUAAUCAAAUCCUAAAUCCUAAACCAAAUCCUAAUCCUAAAUCAAAUCCUAAUC